CAGUCGAACGCUUUGUCUUUAAUUGAUCUGACGAGCUUGCUCUGAUUUGAUUUUAUCUGACAAAGAGUGGCGAACGGGUGAGUAACACGUGGGUAACCUACCUCUUAGCAGGGGAUAACAUUUGGAAACAAGUGCUAAUACCGUAUAAUACCAACAACCGCAUGGUUGUUGGUUGAAAGAUGGUUCUGCUAUCACUAAGAGAUGGACCCGCGGUGCAUUAGCUAGUUGGUAAGGUAACGGCUUACCAAGGCAAUGAUGCAUAGCCGAGUUGAGAGACUGAUCGGCCACAAUGGGACUGAGACACGGCCCAUACUCCUACGGGAGGCAGCAGUAGGGAAUCUUCCACAAUGGGCGCAAGCCUGAUGGAGCAACGCCGCGUGUGUGAUGAAGGGUUUCGGCUCGUAAAACACUGUUAUAAGAGAAGAACGGCACUGAGAGUAACUGUUCAGUGUGUGACGGUAUCUUACCAGAAAGGAACGGCUAAAUACGUGCCAGCAGCCGCGGUAAUACGUAUGUUCCAAGCGUUAUCCGGAUUUAUUGGGCGUAAAGCGAGCGCAGACGGUUAUUUAAGUCUGAAGUGAAAGCCCUCAGCUCAACUGAGGAAUGGCUUUGGAAACUGGAUGACUUGAGUG
rnacentral:rRNA from 1 species